GCUCUCAUCGUCUAGUGGCUAGGACAGAACCCUCUCACGGUUCAAACGGGAGUUCAAUCCUCCUUGAGAGUACCA
rnacentral:tRNA from 1 species